rnacentral:lncRNA from 10 species
GUCAAAAGAUGGCACAUGUAUGUGGAUGUACUAGAGAAUGAAACCACAGAAUUACUAUGAUGAGAACGGAGAUGCUGCAGAUCCCCCUAGGAGGAACCAGCUGGAAGGUGUGGCUGAGUCUGGAAGGAUCAGUGGUGUCAGUAAGUCGAGGUGAGGCUGAGAAGCAGACGUAGCCUGUACGCUCCCUGGAUCUAUAGUCACACCUAGCCCAUGCUCAGAGAAUGCAAGACGACUUCUACCAACAGCAGACACCAGCAAGGGGAGUGCAAGAUGGACCGGCUACCCCUGCCUUGAUGCUACAGCUGGAGACACAGGUCCCAUUGGGCUUAUUUACCGCAAACUCAAUAUGAUUGAGCUUGAUGAGAAACGUCCAACUUUUCACAAAGACGAGAAUGCCAUCCCCAAACCUACUGGAGACUGGUUUUUAAUUUAGAUGUGUGUAACUAGUUAUAUGAAUAUAUUUUAAUACUGGAAAAAUUCUUGCACUGUCUCAGAACCAAGCAAGACUCACAUGUUCUUUAAAUUUGUGUUCAUUUGCCUGUGAAAGGUAAGGGCUGAAGGUAAGAACGCAAUGUUUAUGUUUUUGGUCUUAACUCUGCCCAGCUAAUUAGAAUUCCCUGUAUCUAAAAUGCUGCCUUUUACUUAUUGAAGGGCAUUUUAAUGGUUUAUGUGUCGUAUCAAAUGAAAACACUUCUCACACUUAUAGAUGACACUUGUCACCUUUUAAAAUCAGUGUGACAAGAAAUAGUAGCAAGUUAAACUUUACUUUCAGACUCUUGACUAAGUUGGACUAAGUAUUAACUUACGAUUGUCAUUAAACCGCUAUUCAAAAACACAGAACUGUAGAAUUACUGUGUGUGUGUGAUUGGCAAUGGUGCUUUGCCAACUUGUUAAAAGGAUUAAAGUAGAGGAGCUAUAUACGAAAUUAUAAAUUAUAGGUGAUCGUAAGACUUAAGAAAAUUAAAAACAAAAUCCCAGAUCAUGAAAAAAAAAAAAAAAAGAAAUCAGGGAGGAACUAAGUAAUUAAGGGGGUGCUACCAGCAAGGAAACAGAAAGAAUAGGAGAAUGAGCUAUUCUGGAAGCCAGAUGAAGAAAAUAUUUCAAGUAGGGGUAAAUGAUUAACCGUGUCAAUUCUUGUUAAUGAGAUCAAGGAAGGUGGGACCUGAGCAUUGACCAUCGGUUUAGCUGAAUGGAGGUCACUGAUCAUGUUGGCUGCCAGUGCCAAUAGAGUGGUGAGCACAAAAACCAGGCUGAGGGCGAUUUGGGAGAGAAUGGGAGAAGAGUUGAUGAGAGUGACCACAGAAGCUGAAGGGCUAGUAGGGUCAAGAGAGGGUUUUUCUGUGAUUGUGUUUGUUAAUUUUGUUUUGCUUUGGUUUUUGGUGGGAGAAAGACCUGUAUAUUUGUAGGAUGAGUCAGUAGAGAGGGAAAAGUUGAUGAUACAGGAGAAAGAGGAGGACAGUUUCAGGAGCAAUGUUCUUGAUUAGGAAAACCGGUGGGGAUCUAGCUUACAAAUGGAGGGACAGGCCUUAGACAGAUACACAGACAGUUCAUCUAUAGUGACAGGAAGGCAGACAGAGUUCCUGGUACAGUUGCUUGAGGAUGGACAGGUAUGGUGGUGGAA